AGGGAGGGGGGCAGGGGAAAGGAGACUUUUGCUGUGCCAAACACCAUCUCACCCCUGUCCCCUCUGUCCUCCAGGCACCCCGAGGGCGAGGAAGAGACCAGGAGAGAGGCCGACUCCGACGCUCGCGCCAGCGACCCCAGGGAGUGAGGGCUGGCUCCAGGCUGUCCGUCUGUCCGCGGCUCCCGCCGAAGCUCUCCUAUGCCCUGCGGCCAGCACCCAUCACAUCCCGGCCUCGGCCCAUCCRGAACCCCCCUGCACGCCACGGUUUUCCCGCACCGACAAACCCCCGCGAUCCCGGCCGCCUUCCCGGCAGCGCGCGGGCAGCGGGGCUCCAUGGCGCG
rnacentral:lncRNA from 1 species